CCUACGGGUGGCAGCAGUCGAGAAUCAUUCACAAUGGGGGAAACCCUGAUGGUGCGACGCCGCGUGGGGGAAUGAAGGUCUUCGGAUUGUAAACCCCUGUCAUGUGGGAGCAAAUUAAAAAGAUAGUACCACAAGAGGAAGAGACGGCUAACUCUGUGCCAGCAGCCGCGGUAAUACAGAGGUCUCAAGCGUUGUUCAGAAUCACUGGGCGUAAAGCGUGCGUAGGCUGUUUCGUAAGUCGUGUGUGAAAGGCCCGGGCUCAACCCGCGGACGGCACAUGAUACUGCGAGACUAGAGUAAUGGAGGGGGAACCGGAAUUCUCGGUGUAGCAGUGAAAUGCGUAGAUAUCGAGAGGAACACUCGUGGCGAAGGCGGGUUCCUGGACAUUAACUGACGCUGAGGCACGAAGGCCAGGGGAGCGAAAGGGAUUAGAUACCCUUGUAGUC
rnacentral:rRNA from 1 species